UGCCAGACUCCUACGGGAGGCAGCAGUGGGGAAUAUUGCACAAUGGGGGGAACCCUGAUGCAGCGACGCCGCGUGAGUGAAGAAGUAUUUCGGUAUGUAAAGCUCUGUCAGCAGGGAGGAAGAAAGACGGUACCUGACCAAGAAGCCCCGGCUAACUACGUGCCAGCAGCCGCGGUAAUACGUAGGGGGCAAGCGUUAUCCGGAUUUACUGGGUGUAAAGGGGGCGCAGACGGCGAUGCAAGCCAGGAGUGAAAGCCCGGGGCCCAACCCCGGGACUGCUCUUGGAACUGCGUGGCUGGAGUGCAGGAGGGGCAGGCGGAAUUCCUAGUGUAGCGGUGAAAUGCGUAGAUAUUAGGAGGAACACCGGUGGCGAAGGCGGCCUGCUGGACUGUAACUGACACUGAGGCUCGAAAGCGUGGGGAGCAAACAGGAUUAGAUACCCUUGUACG
rnacentral:rRNA from 1 species